GAUGAACGCUGGCGGCGUGCCUAAUACAUGCAAGUCGAGCGAACAGACGAGGAGCUUGCUCCUCUGACGUUAGCGGCGGACGGGUGAGUAACACGUGGAUAACCUACCUAUAAGACUGGGAUAACUUCGGGAAACCGGAGCUAAUACCGGAUAAUAUAUUGAACCGCAUGGUUCAAUAGUGAAAGACGGCUUUGCUGUCACUUAUAGAUGGAUCCGCGCCGCAUUAGCUAGUUGGUAAGGUAACGGCUUACCAAGGCAACGAUGCGUAGCCGACCUGAGAGGGUGAUCGGCCACACUGGAACUGAGACACGGUCCAGAAUCCUACGGGAGGCAGCAGUAGGGAAUCUUCCGCAAUGGGCGAAAGCCUGACGGAGCAACGCCGCGUGAGUGAUGAAGGUCUUCGGAUCGUAAAACUCUGUUAUUAGGGAAGAACAAAUGUGUAAGUAACUAUGCACGUCUUGACGGUACCUAAUCAGAAAGCCACGGCUAACUACGUG
rnacentral:rRNA from 1 species